rnacentral:rRNA from 1 species
UACGUAGGGGGCGAGCGUUGUCCGAAGUUACUGGGCGUAAAGCGCGCGUAGGCGGUCAUUUAAGUUCGGGGUGAAAGGUUCAGCGCUCAACGCGAACAGUGCCUUGAAUACUGGGUGACUUGAGUUCGGGAGAGGGCAGUGGAAUUCCUGGUGUAGCGGUGAAAUGCGUAGAUAUCAGGAGGAACACCGAUGGCGAAGGCAGCUGCCUGGCCUAGAACUGACGCUGAGGAGCGAAAGCAUGGGGAGCGAACAGG